AGGUGUAGCGGUGAAAUGCGUAGAGAUCUGGAGGAAUACCGGUGGCGAAGGCGGCCCCCUGGACGAAGACUGACGCUCAGGUGCGAAAGCGUGGGGAGCAAACAGGGUUAGAUACCCUGGUAGUCCACGCCGUAAACGAUGUCGACCUGGAGGUUGUGCCCUUGAGGCGUGGCUUCCGGAGCUAACGCGUUAAGUCGACCGCCAGGGGAGUACGGCCGCAAGGUUAAAACUCAAAUGAAUUGACGGGGGCCCGCACAAGCGGUGGAGCAUGUGGUUUAAUUCGAUGCAACGCGAAGAACCUUACCUGGUCUUGACAUCCACGGAAGUUUUCAGAGAUGAGAAUGUGCCUUCGGGAACCGUGAGACAGGUGCUGCAUGGCUGUCGUCAGCUCGUGUUGUGAAAUGUUGGGUUAAGUCCCGCAACGAGCGCGACCCUUAUCCUUUGUUGCCAGCGGUCCGGCCGGGAACUCAAAGGAGACUGCCAGUGAUAAACUGGAGGAAGGUGGGGAUGACGUCAAGUCAUCAUGGCCCUUACGACCAGGGCUACACACGUGCUACAAUGGCGCAUACAAAGAGAAGCGACCUCGCGAGAGCAAGCGGACCUCAUAAAGUGCGUCGUAGUCCGGAUUGGAGUCUGCAACUCGACUCCAUGAAGUCGGAAUCGCUAGUAAUCGUGGAUCAGAAUGCCACGGUGAAUACGUUCCCGGGCCUUGUACACACCGCCCGUCACACCAUGGGAGUGGGUUGCAAAAGAAGUAGGUAGCUUAACCUUCGGGAGGGCGCUUACCACUUUGUGAUUCAUGACUGGGGUGAAGUCGUAACAAGGUAGCCGUAGCGGCCGC
rnacentral:rRNA from 1 species